rnacentral:rRNA from 1 species
CAGUUCCUGAAACCGUGUGCCUACAAGUAGUUAGAGCCCGUUAAUGGGUGAUAGCGUGCCUUUUGUAGAAUGAACCGGCGAGUUACGAUUUGUUGCAAGGUUAAGCGGAAAAAGCGGAGCCGUAGCGAAAGCGAGUCUGAAUAGGGCGCAUAAGUAACAGGUCGUAGACCCGAAACCAGGUGAUCUACCCAUGUCCAGGAUGAAGGUAAGGUAAUACUUACUGGAGGUCCGAACCCACGCACGUUGAAAAGUGCGGGGAUGAGGUGUGGGUAGCGGAGAAAUUCCAAUCGAACUUGGAGAUAGCUGGUUCUCUCCGAAAUAGCUUUAGGGCUAGCCUCGAGGUAAAGAGUCAUGGAGGUAGAGCACUGUUUGGACUAGGGGCCCUUCUCGGGUUACCGAAUUCAGAUAAACUCCGAAUGCCAUGUACUUAUACUCGGGAGUCAGACUGCGAGUGAUAAGAUCCGUAGUCGAAAGGGAAACAGCCCAGACCACCAGUUAAGGUCCCCAAAUAUAUGUUAAGUGGAAAAGGAUGUGGGGUUGCUUAGACAACCAGGAUGUUGGCUUAGAAGCAGCCACCAUUGAAAGAGUGCGUAAUAGCUCACUGGUCGAGUGACCCCGCGCCGAAAAUGUACCGGGGCUAAACAUAUUACCGAAACUGUGGAUGAACCUCUUUAGAGGUUCGUGGUAGGAGAGCGUUCUAAGGGCGGUGAAGUCAGACCGGAAGGACUGGUGGAGCGCUUAGAAGUGAGACUGCCGGUAUGAGUAGCGAAAGAAGGGUGAGAAUCCCUUCCACCGAAUAUCUAAGGUUUCCUGAGGAAGGCUCGUCCGCUCAGGGUUAGUCGGGACCUAAGCCGAGGCCGAUAGGCGUAGGCGAUGGACAACAGGUAGAGAUUCCUGUACCAGUGCUAAUUGUUUAACCGAUGGGGUGACACAGAAGGAUAGGGAAUCGCACGAAUGGAAAUGUGCGUCCAAGCAGUGAGUGUGAGAAGUAGGCAAAUCCGCUUCUCGCGAAGCAUGAGCUGUGAUGGGGAAGGAAAUUAAGUACGGAAGUUCCUGAUUUCACGCUGUCAAGAAAAGCCUCUAGGAAGAGUAGUACUGCCCGUACCGCAAACCGACACAGGUAGAUGAGGAGAGAAUCCUAAGGUGAGCGAGAGAACUCUCGUUAAGGAACUCGGCAAAAUGACCCCGUAACUUCGGGAGAAGGGGUGCUCUAUUAGGGUGCAAGCCCGAGAGAGCCGCAGUGAAUAGGCCCAGGCGACUGUUUAGCAAAAACACAGGUCUCUGCAAAACCGUAAGGUGACGUAUAGGGGCUGACGCCUGCCCGGUGCUGGAAGGUUAAGAGGAGUGCUUAGCUUCGGCGAAGGUACGAAUUGAAGCCCCAGUAAACGGCGGCCGUAACUAUAACGGUCCUAAGGUAGCGAAAUUCCUUGUCGGGUAAGUUCCGACCCGCACGAAAGGCGCAACGAUCUGGGCACUGUCUCAACGAGAGACUCGGUGAAAUUAUAGUACCUGUGAAGAUGCAGGUUACCCGCGACAGGACGGAAAGACCCCGUGGAGCUUUACUGCAACCUGAUAUGGAAUGUUUGUACCGCUUGUACAGGAUAGGUAGGAGCCGAAGAGACGUGUGCGCUAGCAUACGAGGAGGCAAUGGUGGGAUACUACCCUGGCUGUAUGACCAUUCUAACCCGCCACGCUUAGCGCGUGGGGAGACAGUGUCAGGUGGGCAGUUUGACUGGGGCGGUCGCC